rnacentral:rRNA from 2 species
UGGGGGAUAUUGCGCAAUGGGGGCAACCCUGACGCAGCAACGCCGCGUGAAGGAUGAAGGUUUUCGGAUUGUAAACUUCUUUUAUUAAGGACGAAAAAUGACGGUACUUAAUGAAUAAGCUCCGGCUAACUACGUGCCAGCAGCCGCGGUAAUACGUAGGGAGCAAGCGUUGUCCGGAUUUACUGGGUGUAAAGGGUGCGUAGGCGGCUUUGCAAGUCAGAUGUGAAAUCUAUGGGCUCAACCCAUAAACUGCAUUUGAAACUGUAGAGCUUGAGUGAAGUAGAGGCAGGCGGAAUUCCCCGUGUAGCGGUGAAAUGCGUAGAGAUGGGGAGGAACACCAGUGGCGAAGGCGGCCUGCUGGGCUUUAACUGACGCUGAGGCACGAAAGCGUGGGUAGCAAACAGGAUUAGAUACCCUGGUAGUCCACGCUGUAAACGAUGAUUACUAGGUGUGGGGGGUCUGACCCCUUCCGUGCCGGAGUUAACACAAUAAGUAAUCCACCUGGGGAGUACGGCCGCAAGGUUGAAACUCAAAGGAAUUGACGGGGGCCCGCACAAGCAGUGGAGUAUGUGGUUUAAUUCGAAGCAACGCGAAGAACCUUACCAGGUCUUGACAUCCAACUAACGAAGUAGAGAUACAUUAGGUGCCCUUCGGGGAAAGUUGAGACAGGUGGUGCAUGGUUGUCGUCAGCUCGUGUCGUGAGAUGUUGGGUUAAGUCCCGCAACGAGCGCAACCCUUGCUAUUAGUUGCUACGCAAGAGCACUCUAAUAGGACUGCCGUUGACAAAACGGAGGAAGGUGGGGACGACGUCAAAUCAUCAUGCCCCUUAUGACCUGGGCUAUACACGUACUACAAUGGAUGUUAACAGAGGGAAGCAAGACAGCGAUGUGGAGCAAACCCCUAAAAACAUUCUCAGUUCAGAUUGCAGGCUGCAACCCGCCUGCAUGAAGAUGGAAUUGCUAGUAAUCGCGGAUCAGCAUGCCGCGGUGAAUACGUUCCC